AGGAACAACACCCCUGGUGGCGGCCAGCUCUCCAGCUCUGGAGUCAGCUCCUGCAGUAACUACCGCAGCUCUCAGUCCACACUGGCCUGGAUGUUCCGAGGCAUG
rnacentral:pre_miRNA from 1 species